CUGUUCAAGUAUGAAUCCCUUCUAAGCUGCCUGUAAUUUCAGAGCCUUCACGCCGAUGUGUAUGUAUAACAUUCCUGACACCUUGAAUAAAUACCCCAAACUGCUCUUAGGACGAACACCAUAAAUGGAAUCAGAUUGACAUCCAUAACCAUGUUUCUGAAAUUGGAGUUCAUAAAAUGAAGUUGUAAUCCAUUUUUCCAGCAUUCUUCUUCUUUGAUCCACCUUGAAUAUUUCAAGAGUUGGAUAUUCG
rnacentral:lncRNA from 1 species